rnacentral:rRNA from 1 species
AUUGAACGCUGGCGGCAGGCCUUACACAUGCAAGUCGAACGAGUGGCGGACGGGUGAGUAAUGUCUGGGAAACUGCCCGAUGGAGGGGGAUAACUACUGGAAACGGUAGCUAAUACCGCAUACCAUCGGAUGUGCCCAGAUGGGAUUAGCUAGUUGGUGGGGUAAAGGCUCACCUAGGCGACGAUCCCUAGCUGGUCUGAGAGGAGGACCAGCCAAACUGGGACUGAGACACGGGCCAGACUCCUACGGGAGGCAGCAGUGGGGAAUAUUGGACAAUGGGGGAAAGCCUGAUGCAGCCAUGCCGCGUGGAUGAAGAAGGCCUUCGGGUUGUAAAGUACUUUUAGCAGGGAAGCGGUACCCGCAGAAGAAGCACCGGCUAACUCCGUGCCAGCAGCCGCGGUAAUAC